CAGCAGGAGGGUAACCACCAUGACCAGGUGCAGGAGGAUAACCACCAUAACCAGGGGCAGGAGGAUAGCCACCAGGUGCUGGGGGAUAACCACCAGGCGCCGGUGGGUAUGCACUUGGAGGAUAACCUGCAGGUGGGUAAGCACCAGGUGGUGGAGGGUAACCUUGUUGCGGGUAUCCAGCAGGUGGAUACCCAGGAGCCGGCGGGUAUCCAGCAGGAGGAUACCCAUGAAAACCUUUGUCAUUGUCACCUCCCAUGUUUUCUAUCAAUCAACAAUACAAC
rnacentral:lncRNA from 1 species